rnacentral:rRNA from 1 species
ACUAAGCGUACACGGUGGAUGCCCUGGCAGUCAGAGGCGAUGAAGGACGUGCUAAUCUGCGAUAAGCGUCGGUAAGGUGAUAUGAACCGUUAUAACCGGCGAUUUCCGAAUGGGGAAACCCAGUGUGUUUCGACACACUAUCAUUAACUGAAUCCAUAGGUUAAUGAGGCGAACCGGGGGAACUGAAACAUCUAAGUACCCCGAGGAAAAGAAAUCAACCGAGAUUCCCCCAGUAGCGGCGAGCGAACGGGGAGCAGCCCAGAGCCUGAAUCAGUGUGUGUGUUAGUGGAAGCGUCUGGAAAGGCGCGCGAUACAGGGUGACAGCCCCGUACACAAAAAUGCACAUAUUGUGAGCUCGAUGAGUAGGGCGGGACACGUGGUAUCCUGUCUGAAUAUGGGGGGACCAUCCUCCAAGGCUAAAUACUCCUGACUGACCGAUAGUGAACCAGUACCGUGAGGGAAAGGCGAAAAGAACCCCGGCGAGGGGAGUGAAAAAGAACCUGAAACCGUGUACGUACAAGCAGUGGGAGCACGCUUAGGCGUGUGACUGCGUACCUUUUGUAUAAUGGGUCAGCGACUUAUAUUCUGUAGCAAGGUUAACCGAAUAGGGGAGCCGAAGGGAAACCGAGUCUUAACUGGGCGUUAAGUUGCAGGGUAUAGACCCGAAACCCGGUGAUCUAGCCAUGGGCAGGUUGAAGGUUGGGUAACACUAACUGGAGGACCGAACCGACUAAUGUUGAAAAAUUAGCGGAUGACUUGUGGCUGGGGGUGAAAGGCCAAUCAAACCGGGAGAUAGCUGGUUCUCCCCGAAAGCUAUUUAGGUAGCGCCUCGUGAAUUCAUCUCCGGGGGUAGAGCACUGUUUCGGCAAGGGGGUCAUCCCGACUUACCAACCCGAUGCAAACUGCGAAUACCGGAGAAUGUUAUCACGGGAGACACACGGCGGGUGCUAACGUCCGUCGUGAAGAGGGAAACAACCCAGACCGCCAGCUAAGGUCCCAAAGUCAUGGUUAAGUGGGAAACGAUGUGGGAAGGCCCAGACAGCCAGGAUGUUGGCUUAGAAGCAGCCAUCAUUUAAAGAAAGCGUAAUAGCUCACUGGUCGAGUCGGCCUGCGCGGAAGAUGUAACGGGGCUAAACCAUGCACCGAAGCUGCGGCAGCGACGCUUAUGCGUUGUUGGGUAGGGGAGCGUUCUGUAAGCCUGCGAAGGUGUGCUGUGAGGCAUGCUGGAGGUAUCAGAAGUGCGAAUGCUGACAUAAGUAACGAUAAAGCGGGUGAAAAGCCCGCUCGCCGGAAGACCAAGGGUUCCUGUCCAACGUUAAUCGGGGCAGGGUGAGUCGACCCCUAAGGCGAGGCCGAAAGGCGUAGUCGAUGGGAAACAGGUUAAUAUUCCUGUACUUGGUGUUACUGCGAAGGGGGGACGGAGAAGGCUAUGUUGGCCGGGCGACGGUUGUCCCGGUUUAAGCGUGUAGGCUGGUUUUCCAGGCAAAUCCGGAAAAUCAAGGCUGAGGCGUGAUGACGAGGCACUACGGUGCUGAAGCAACAAAUGCCCUGCUUCCAGGAAAAGCCUCUAAGCAUCAGGUAACAUCAAAUCGUACCCCAAACCGACACAGGUGGUCAGGUAGAGAAUACCAAGGCGCUUGAGAGAACUCGGGUGAAGGAACUAGGCAAAAUGGUGCCGUAACUUCGGGAGAAGGCACGCUGAUAUGUAGGUGAAGUCCCUCGCGGAUGGAGCUGAAAUCAGUCGAAGAUACCAGCUGGCUGCAACUGUUUAUUAAAAACACAGCACUGUGCAAACACGAAAGUGGACGUAUACGGUGUGACGCCUGCCCGGUGCCGGAAGGUUAAUUGAUGGGGUCAGCGCAAGCGAAGCUCUUGAUCGAAGCCCCGGUAAACGGCGGCCGUAACUAUAACGGUCCUAAGGUAGCGAAAUUCCUUGUCGGGUAAGUUCCGACCUGCACGAAUGGCGUAAUGAUGGCCAGGCUGUCUCCACCCGAGACUCAGUGAAAUUGAACUCGCUGUGAAGAUGCAGUGUACCCGCGGCAAGACGGAAAGACCCCGUGAACCUUUACUAUAGCUUGACACUGAACAUUGAGCCUUGAUGUGUAGGAUAGGUGGGAGGCUUGGAAGUGUGGACGCCAGUCUGCAUGGAGCCGACCUUGAAAUACCACCCUUUAAUGUUUGAUGUUCUAACGUUGACCCGUAAUCCGGGUUGCGGACAGUGUCUGGUGGGUAGUUUGACUGGGGCGGUCUCCUCCUAAAGAGUAACGGAGGAGCACGAAGGUUGGCUAAUCCUGGUCGGACAUCAGGAGGUUAGUGCAAUGGCAUAAGCCAGCUUGACUGCGAGCGUGACGGCGCGAGCAGGUGCGAAAGCAGGUCAUAGUGAUCCGGUGGUUCUGAAUGGAAGGGCCAUCGCUCAACGGAUAAAAGGUACUCCGGGGAUAACAGGCUGAUACCGCCCAAGAGUUCAUAUCGACGGCGGUGUUUGGCACCUCGAUGUCGGCUCAUCACAUCCUGGGGCUGAAGUAGGUCCCAAGGGUAUGGCUGUUCGCCAUUUAAAGUGGUACGCGAGCUGGGUUUAGAACGUCGUGAGACAGUUCGGUCCCUAUCUGCCGUGGGCGCUGGAGAACUGAGGGGGGCUGCUCCUAGUACGAGAGGACCGGAGUGGACGCAUCACUGGUGUUCGGGUUGUCAUGCCAAUGGCACUGCCCGGUAGCUAAAUGCGGAAGAGAUAAGUGCUGAAAGCAUCUAAGCACGAAACUUGCCCCGAGAUGAGUUCUCCCUGACUCCUUGAGAGUCCUGAAGGAACGUUGAAGACGACGACGUUGAUAGGCCGGGUGUGUAAGCGCAGCGAUGCGUUGAGCUAACCGGUACUAAUGAACCGUGAGGCUUAACC